GAUGAACGCUGGCGGCGUGCCUAAUACAUGCAAGUCGAGCGAACAGACGAGGAGCUUGCUCCUCUAACGUUAGCGGCGGACGGGUGAGUAACACGUGGAUAACCUACCUAUAAGACUGGGAUAACUUCGGGAAACCGGAGCUAAUACCGGAUAAUAUAUUGAACCGCAUGGUUCAAUAGUGAAAGACGGUUUUGCUGUCACUUAUAGAUGGAUCCGCGCCGCAUUAGCUAGUUGGUAAGGUAACAGCUUACCAAGGCAACGAUGCGUAGCCGACCUGAGAGGGUGAUCGGCCACACUGGAACUGAGACACGGUCCAGACUCCUACGGGAGGCAGCAGUAGGGAAUCUUCCGCAAUGGGCGAAAGCCUGACGGAGCAACGCCGCGUGAGUGAUGAAGGUCUUCGGAUCGUAAAACUCUGUUAUUAGGGAAGAACAAAUGUGUAAGUAACUAUGCACGUCUUGACGGUACCUAAUCAGAAAGCCACAGCUAACUACGUG
rnacentral:rRNA from 1 species